UACAGAGGGUGCGAGCGUUAAUCGGAAUUACUGGGCGUAAAGCGCACGUAGUCGGCUUUGCAAGUCGGGUGUGAAAUCCCCGGGCUCAACCUGGGAACUGCAUCCGAGACUGCAUUGCUAGAGUAUGGGAGAGGGAAGCGGAAUUUCUGGUGUAGCGGUGAAAUGCGCAGAUAUCAGGAGGAACACCAGCGGCGAAGGCGGCGCUCUGGGCCGGAACUGACGCUGAGGAGCGAAAGCGUGGGUAGCAAACAGG
rnacentral:rRNA from 1 species